rnacentral:misc_RNA from 1 species
UCUUCACGUUUCUCUAGUGCGCUCCUUGCACGUGCUCUCAUUGUCCAUCUCCGACCCCCUCCACGUAGAAGCCGCGUGUGCCCCCUUACCACCACCACCACCCGGAAUUCUCGUCUGCCUUGAGGCGUACGGUUGACCGCCAAGUUGUUCUCCCUUAGAUCCUUUUGUUGUUGUUGUUGUUGACUGUUGAUGGCGGCAAAUUCUGCGCUGCUUCGGUAGGGCUUGCACAGAGGUGCCUGGUCGCCCUCCCCUCCCUUCUGUGGUGGUGGGGGGGGGGGGGGGGGGGGGUAACCUUCACUUCGAUGGACCAAGCCGGGACGCACAGGGAACGCAAAGCGAUGUAUCCGUUGAAAAAGGUGCAGGGGCUAUGGGCACCCUACACCCCACCCACCAUCCCAAUAUCGAUGUCUCCUUCCUUCUCCUCGACUUAUUUUGCCAGCGUCCUCCCACCGCCACCGCCACCGCCCCUCUGAAUGCGGAGGCAGCAGCCGCGUAGAAGCGCACAACCUCACUCAAACCAGCGCACCCUGUCUCUGAGUCUUGUGCCCCAUCCCAGCCCUCCCUGCCGUGUGCGUGCAGAGGGAGGGCGGGUCGCGCGAAAGGGGAAGCUGAUGCAGCGAAGCUGCGAAUGCGGACCUGUGCGUGUGUGCCUGUCUGCGCCAAAGGAUCCAACGGCUGAGAGGCAAUGUACAUAUGUGACGCCUUUCUCGCUACGGGGGAGGGGGAGGAUAAUGGGGGAGCGGGCAUGAGCAAAGUCUGCGACGGCACUCCUCCACAAAACAUCAACAAAAAAAAGUAAACCCACGACAAUGCCAAUGCGAUGUACCGGCCAGCAGAGGCCGUGCAAAAAGGGUCAUGGUGGUUGGCUUCCAAUCGCGUCUGUGUUCCCUCUCUCUUUGGACAGUGCAGCGGAGGGCAAAGCAGGCGGUAGUGUCUUGAAAGGGAAAGGGGGGAGUGGGCGCUGUUCUCGGUCACAUGCGCCGACCCCCUCCCCAUCCUCUCCCACUGGAACCCUCAUCUCCGGUUCAACAAGGGGUUAGACAAGUACACCACUAUCCUCGCCCCUCCCUCCCUUCUCCUUGGGCGGCGAGUAUCGCUCUUAGCCAAGCGCGCCGCUUACUCAUGCCGACGCGAACUCGAUUCUCCCUCACUUCUUCCUUAUUGGCUCUCUGCAUAACCACCACCACUACCAGCUUCUAGGGGGGGAGGGGGGCUACACAGUACGGCACCACUGCAUGGCUUCCUUUCUCUUUGGGUGUGGGGGAGGGGAGGGAGGGGGGGCACACGCAGGCACUCGUAUCAGGCUACCAUAUGAACUCUAUUCGUUCCAUUCUACUUUUUGAGGUGGUUAG